rnacentral:rRNA from 1 species
AUUGAACGCUGGCGGCAUGCUUUACACAUGCAAGUCGAACGGCAGCGAGAGAGAAGCUCGCUUCUCUUGUCGGCGAGUGGCGAACGGGUGAGUAAUACAUCGGAACGUACCCUGUAGUGGGGGAUAACUACUCGAAAGAGUAGCUAAUACCGCAUACAACCUGAGGGUAAAAGUGGGGGACCGCAAGGCCUCACGCUAUAGGAGCGGCCGAUGGAAGAUUAGCUAGUUGGUAGGGUAAAGGCCUACCAAGGCGACGAUCUUUAGCGGGUCUGAGAGGACGAUCCGCCACACUGGGACUGAGACACGGCCCAGACUCCUACGGGAGGCAGCAGUGGGGAAUUUUGGACAAUGGGCGAAAGCCUGAUCCAGCAAUGCCGCGUGAGUGAAGAAGGCCUUCGGGUUGUAAAGCUCUUUUGUUUGGGAAGAAAUCCUAACGGAUAAUACCUGUUGGGGAUGACGGUACCAAAAGAAUAAGCACCGGCUAACUACGUGCCAGCCGCCGCGGUAACAC